GGAGUGGCAUGGGUCAGCUUAGUGUAAUUGAGGAAUUUAUAUUCCUUUCUGCCUGGGUAACUGAAGGGCUUGUCCAUCAGCUCCUGAAAGGCCUGCUUCAGAGCACAGCAUUUGAAAUAGUACCUUCAUAGAAUAAACUAGGUUAGAAAAGACCUUUAAGAUUAUCAAGUCCAAAAGAUCAUCAAGACCUUUUUCAUUUUGCUUUGAAAUCAGUUAUAAACUAAUCCCCUGAGACUGCUGUCCUGGAUGGGACACCAGCCAGAGUGUUACAUCUCUAUUCUGAGGAGGGGCAAUUGUACUUUGAAUAGAAAAUCCUUACUUUGGUGAAGCUUAUGGAGGUAUCUCCAUGUUUCCCUGCACGAUUGUCUGCCAGAGUGGGAGCUGCUUGCUUAAGCUGGUGUAAGUUUAAUGAACUAAAUGACUUGUGAAUUUAAAACAAUCCUUUGGCACUGUAAUGCCUGGCAUCUAUUUUGUAUAAAGAUCUCUUAUCUCUGGUUUGAAGUGCCGUAAAACGUGCAUUCUUAGAAAACAGCUUAUUUUCAAAACACUUGUUUCCUUAUUGGGCCAUGAAUGUUAUCUCAUACAUCUACACAUCUGUCUAUACAGCUAAAGAUGUAUUCUAAGUAGGGUUUUUUACAUGAAGAGAAUCUUAUUUGAAACAUUAAUUGUGAUGUAUUUGCUGAUAGACAACUACUUGUGUCACCAAGCAAUAGUUCUGCUCUAUUAGAUUCUUAACUACCCAGCAGAGCUUGUCAUAAUUGCUUGCCUAGUGGUUACUCUUUUCACCACAACCUUUGCUUAAAAGUUAGAAUAUGACCAUUUUGGUUGCUAGUGUAAAACUACCACUGUCCUAGUGGUCAUGAGCCAGUGCUUGGGGUGGUGGAAUUGCCUGGCAGCUAUGCAGAGCCAAAGCAGCUCUCAAAUGUGUUUGGAGGGUGAAUCCCUGCUUUCUCAUCAUGUUUGUGCACUCAGAUCUUUCUCUUCUGGGCCUCAACCAGAAAAUCUGCAAUGCAGUUCUACUGGCGCUCAUGGGGAUCUGCAUUGUACAGCCCAUGGAAAACCCAAGGCUGCAGGAUGCAGUGAGGUUAGUCUAAUCUGACAAAAAUCCGUAGAGUGCAAGAAUUAGUUGUGGGCUUUGUCGUCCUCAAAAUGCAGGUACCAGUUAGUGAAAGGAGGAAAGCAAGCAACCAAGAACAUAAAGUACUAAUGAAUGGGUCAGGAAAGGCAGCGUUGUGGGAUGGCUGGUGUUUGCAAAUGCUUUGCUUUUAACAGGGCCAAGUUAAGAAAAUGCCUUGAGAGGUUUGGGCUUUUUUCCCCCUUGGAAUAUACAGAUGGAACAAGUAAUUUCUGCCUUUCGAAGUAAAACACCUUCAGAGGAAUCCUGCAGCUUUCCUCUUUAGUUCUCUGGUGACCUCAAGAUGGCACUGUUGCCCUGGAAUUGUUGGGAAUUUCCUUUGGUCUAUGGGUCCAUCCAUACAACAUUUCAGAACUGAUUUGAAUGUAUUUUUACCUGCUUUGUUUCAGAAAAUCCUCAGUGCGUUGCUGUAAGAUUCUGAUUUUCUUGGGCUACAGAUGCUUCAGUACUUAAUUCAUUGUAAUUCCAAUCUGACGUUUUGCGUGUUUCAUAAAAAUAGUUGACUCAAA
ensembl:lncRNA